rnacentral:lncRNA from 1 species
CUCCUUCCUUAGGUUAGGAAAGUUUUCAGCUAUUAUUUCUUCAAAUAGAUUCUCUGACCCUUUGUCUCUCUCUCUCUCCUUCAGGGACACCUACAAUAUGAAUGUUAGUGUGCUUGAUAUUGUCCCAGAAUUCCCUUAGAUUGUUCUCAUUCUUUUUAAUUCUUUUUUCUUUUAUCUCUUCAGCUUGGGUGAUUUCCUCUAGUCUUUCAUCCAGCUUGCUGAUCUGUUCUUCUGUAUCAUCUACUCUGCCAUUGAGUGCCUCUAGUGAAUUUUUAAUUUCCAGUAUUGUAUUCUUCAGUUCUGAUUGGUUCUCUUUUAUACUUUCCAAUUCUUUGUUGAUGUUCUCACUGUGUUCAUCUAGUCUUCUCCCAAGAUCAGUGAGCAUCCUUAUGAGUUUUUGCUUGAACUCUUUGUCAGGUAGAUUGCUCAUUUCUGUUUCAUUUAGUUCUUUUUCUGGGGUUUGUCCUGUUCCCUUGCUUGGAAUGUAUUCCUUUGCCUCCUCAUUAUGCCUCUUUCUCUGUGCUUAUAUCUAUGUAUUAGGUGAGUCAUCUAUGUCCCCUGAUCUUGGAGAAGUGGCCUUAUGUAACAGACACCUUUUGAGGUCCAGCAGUGUGCUUCCCUCUCACCACCAGUCCAGAUGUUCCAGGAGUGACCCCUGUGUGGGCCACUUAUGUCCUUCUGCUGCAGCAGGGUUGCUCUUACUGCAGGUACCCAGGGAGUCUAGGUUUUCCCUCCCUGGCCAACUGUUUGUAAAUGGGGUUUGGGGAGCCCCAGCAUAAUUGGCUGCAAUGUCUAAUAGCACACUCCUGUUGCAGUCUUCCUAUUAAAUGAGUAUACACCCAGUGUAGCUUGUUGCCAGGCUCAGGGGCUUACAGUUGCUAUAGGCCUCAGGCCUGCAAGGCUGUUGUCAGCUCUCUUAGGAUUGCAGCUGAGUGGGGCUGGCCCCAGGCACAGGAGCAUCCAAUUGUUUCAGGCUUUGGAAGGGAGGGCUGAUCCCCUUUGUGGCUAUUUGUGAAGCACAGGUCUUCUGCCACUGAUAAGCACCCCCCCACCCAGGUCCACACACUGUCAACACAGCCCUGGUCCAUGCACACUUCCCGACUCCCUGGAGCACACCCAGUUGCCCCACUGCAGAGGCCCCCACCUCUCCACCAAUGCCCCCCCCCCAACAGUUCACCUGGUCCUCACACCAGCCCUGCCCCAUGUAGGCAGACAAACUUGCCCACCUAUAGAGGAUUGAGGCAUCCAGUCUAUGCAGGCCAACAAGUAACCAGAGGGCUUGCUGUUGAGUGACAAUGGUCUCUAGGGCAGGCUGCCUGCCCUGGCUGAACUGUAUUAAAUCUGCACUCUAGUGGCAGACCCUUGGGCUAACGGGCAAGGGGAAGAACCCUAAUGGCUUCUGCCACCAUCUGUGUCAGCAUGCCUAUACUAGGUCACAACAAUGGCUGCCACCAAUGUCUCAGUCUCCGGAGAUGUCUCACCUCUCACUGAGAUGCACCCAGAGAGAGCCUACCAGGGGAGUCUCUUUUCACCAAAGGACUGUGCAGCUUUCCUUCUGGUCAUUUUAGGUUGCUCUCUGAGAUGGGUGAAUUUGUGCAUGGGCCCUUUAAGACCUGGCUUUUUUUUUCCAGAUUGGCACCUGAGCUGACAUCUGUUGCCAAUCCUUUUCUUCUUCUCCUCCUCCCCAAAGCCCCCUGGUGCAUAGUUGUGUAUUCUAGUUGUGAGUGCCUCUGGUUGUGCUAUGUGGGACACCACCACAGCAUGGGUUGAUGAGUGGCAUCAUGUCCAUGCCUAGGAUCUGAACCAGGGAAACCCUGGGCCACCAAAGUGGAGUGUGCAAACUUAACCACUCAGCCAUGGGACCAGCCCCAAGAGCUGGCCUUAUUCCACUUAUGUCAAUAGCUUUUCUGGGGGUAUUCCCUGUUGUAGUUAAUAGCCAGCAAAGCCAGAUAUUAUGACCCUCAUCUCAGUUAUGCUGAGUCUGAAGGAUGCUUAUAGAGGUAACGUGCCCACGUUCAGGUCCCUGCUUCUCCAGUGAAGGCUGUGUACCUUCAGCUGGCUCCUGCCCGGCCAGCUAUGAAGCUCCACAGCUUGCAAAGGUGGCUUUUUUCCUCUCCAGAAGGAAUUUUCUGCCUCUACUGCCUCAAUCAGGACUGUCCCUUGUUGUGGGGGUUCUUUUUAUACAGUUUUCAGUUCUUUCUCUGGGGUAAUUUACUAAGAAUAGUUGUAACCUGGUUGUGUUUGUGGGAGGAGUGAGUUCAGAGUCUGCCUCUGCCACCAUCUUGACAAGAUCUCCAGCCCACAACUCUUGAUCACCCUUCCUAAACCUGCAUCUCCCACCAUAGUAAAUAGCACCACCAUCCAUUCGGGGCUCCCCCGUGGACCCAAUGUACAGUAGGCACCCAGUCUCUAUCACAUGACCCUGCUUUAAUCUCAGCAUAGCACUUGUCAUCACCCAACAUAUUCCAUUUCCAUUUGCCUACCCCUCCCCCCACAGUGCUCACCCUCCAACCACCCCCUGCCCCUCCACAAUGGAAGACACAGGAGAAGAGAGACUUUGUCUGUCUUCCUUCCAACUGCAUCCCUAGCCUUUGGUUCAAAGGAGCCAAAGAAGGAGCUCAAUGCAUACACUUUAGCUGCUUUUAUUAUAUUUUUAAAGCACAGGUAUCAUCAUCUUGAAGAUAGAGGUAUAUUUUUCUCAUAAAUAUUACCUUCAAUACCUGGGAUCCAGUUCUGGAUAGACUCCAGUUGUUUUAAUGAAAGAAAUGGCCAUUUCUGCAUAUAUUUCAAAAUCAGUUGCUGCCCAGAUUUUUUUUCCUUUUUAAAAAUUUUGGUAAAAUAUGCAUAACAAAAUUUUACCAUUUUUACCAUUUUGAAGUAUACAGUUCAGUGGCAUUAAGUACAUUCACAUUGUUGUGCAACCAUCACCACCAUCCAUCUCCAGAAACUUUUCCCAAGCUGAAACUCUGCCCCUUAAACAGUGACUCCUCCUCCUGUUCCCAUGCUGACCAGAUUUUUUAUUCAUUUUGUCAUUGAAUGGCAGGGAGUUUUUGGUUACCUGUCGCUGUGUAAGAAAGAACCCAAAACUAGUGAUUUAAAUACAGUUGUUUAUUAUUUUGGUCAUGCAUUUGGGGAUGGGCCAGGCUCAGCAGAGCAGUUCUUCCAUCCUCUCAUGCAGUUGACCUCAGACAGGGCCAGGGCAAGGGCCGUCUUGAAGGUGUCUUCACUCGCACAUCUGCAGUCUGGGCUGGGAGGACUCACGCUGGGUUUCUUGAGAUCUCCCUCUCUGUGGUCUCUCCACAUGGCUCUCACCAUGGCAAUUCAGGGGCAUCAGACUUCUUACAGAGCCCUGACAUGUGUCCCAGCAGAACCUGAGUGGCCUUUUUCAACCAGCCUUGGAAGUCAUUUAGCCUCACUCACAUGACAGAGACCUGAUCAAGUUCAAGAGGAGGAAAUAGAAUCCAUCUCUUGAUGGGAGGGAUGUCAAAGAAUUUGUGGCAUGUUUUAAAACCAACACCUUGUCCUGAUCCAGCAGACCUGGAAAGAUAUCUGUGCAUGAGGUGAAAAGAGAAUAGGACGAAGGGCGGCAAGCUGGGAAACCAGCAUGUGAUGCACCCUCAGCUGAGCUAGGAAGGAAUGGCAUCGCAGCCCCUCGACACACCAAGAAGUCUGAACAGUGACCUGGGACCUGGAGGCUUGGCAGCCAAGUGGGCCGGCGUUGGGGCCAGAAGAGUGAAGAGCCAGCUUCUCCAUAGUGACUCCAUGUGGCAGAGACCGGGAACAGCAGGAGUGGGACGAUCUGACUCCAGGAUUCCCCAGUUUAGAGGUCUGUGUGAGGGCUCCUCAGCGCAGACAACAGAAGCUAACCUCAUUGGUUUACUGGAAGAAUAGAUUUAUUCAAAGAUAUUAUGUGGUUCACAGAAUCUCCAGGAAAGCCAGAGGCGAUGCAUCUGGGAAUAAUGCUCAAAGAUGGCAGUAAGACUCUCCAUCAGAGAUGCCCACCACCACGAGCUCGGGUCCCAGGCUCCAUGCACAGCUUGUACUGCAGAGGCUGCGCACUGGACACUACCGCUGGACCCUGUGCCACUGCUGCUUCUGAGAGGCAGCAAGCUCGUUCCCGCAGGUGCUCAGUGAACAGAGCUCACCAGAUGUGGAGCUCUGCAACCAUCUUACAUUUCACUCUGGCCUCAGAGCACACCGUCUUACAAGGGAGAUGGGAAAAUAAAUUAUAAAGCUGCACUUUGCCCCGUACAAUGGUGUGGAAAACUCAAGGGAGACCCGUAGAUCAGCCUGAAGUGUCAAAGAAGGCUUUCCCAGAGGGGAACUUAAUCUGAACUAUGGAAGAACUUUCCAGGAAGAUGCAAAUGCAAAGGCCCUGAAGCUCGAGGAGCCAAUCACACAAGAGGAUAGAGAGCCCUUCCAUGUGACUAGAGCCCAGGGUGCAGCUGAGCAGCCAGAGAGGGAGGACAGGGAAGACUAAGACUGGAUCCUGGGGGGCCGCUGAGAAGCCAGACACAAGGGCCGGCCAGACCAGGACUGGAGCCCAGGGGCCACUGAGGAGCCGGACACGAAGGACAGGCCAGACCAGGACUGGAGCCCCGGGGGCUGCUGGGGAGCCAGAGAGGGAGAACAGGCCAGACUAGAGAGGGCCUCAUUCCAAAGAGCUGGCACACUGAGAGACUUGCAGAGUUCACACUGGAGGCAUUAGGAAGAUGUGCUGGAGGGGGUGAGAUGGGCAGGGGAGAUAGUUAAGAGACUAUUGGAGCAAUCCAAAUGAAAAAUGAUGAGGGUAGAAACUAAAGCAUGGCACUUUUAAAGAGGACGGCACUGAUUCUAGGUAUGUCAGGGAGUGAAACAGAUGGCAUCUGGGGAUAGAAUAGAUGACAGGGCACUAGAGAGAGGGAUAUGAGUCUAGGGAAAUUCCCAGGUUUUCUCUUGGAUGAUGAGGCGACUGGUGUUGCCACUGAUUGCAGGUAUGAAGGAAAGAGAGGAGCAGAAGCAGGUUUAGUUAGGGCUAUUUUGAAGCUGUGGUGUCUGUAUGGAUCCAGGGAAGACAUAUAUAACAUGAAGCCAAAAAUCAACCAGAAGUUUGGAACUAGCCAGAAACCCUGUCUAGAGAAACCACACGCCUGGAUUUAUCCUGAUGACCUAAAACCCUGCCAUCUCACCUAAGCGGGUUCCUUUCCAUCUUCUCCAGUGCUUCCUCUCUGUGUGCCAAAUAAUCCCACACUCUACCCAGGAAGAUCACUGGAAAAUCUCUCUCCCUGACUAGCAUGGUCUGAAUGUUUGUGUACCCCCAAAAUUCAUAUGUUAAAAUCCUAAUGCUCAGUGUGACAGGAUUAGGAAAUGGGGUCUUUGGGAGGUGCUUAGGUCACAAGGGCAGAACCCCUGUGAGAGGGAUUAGUGCCCUUAUAAGACAGACCCGGAGAUCCCUCACCUCUUCCACCAUGUAAGGACACGGCGAGAAGUUGGCAGUCUGCAACCCGAAAGAGGGCCUUCACUGGAACCCAACCACACUGGCGCCCUGAGUUUGGACAUCCAGCCUCCAGGACUGUGAGAAAGAAAUGUCUGUCGUUUAUAAGCCACCCAGUCUGUGGUAUUUUGUUAUAGUAGCCAGAACGGACUAAGACACUGAUCAAAUUUACCUGAUGGUAGGCCUUCCCAAGAGGAGAGCCAUUAUCUUCAACACAUCAUGGAACCAGCCCAUGCUCGCAGAGCUGGUGUGGGCAUCUCUUGUCCUUCACUUUGUCCCCAGCUUGAAAGCUACUCAUGCCACUGAUUUUCUUAGGCAGAGGGUGGAACCUACCACAUAUUUCCCCUUAAUUUGAGCCCCUUUUAGAAAAUAACCUUCCAGCCUGGGCAAGGAUUGAUCUUUAUGGCUGCAAUUGUUUCCCCACAUGGCAUUUACUUUCAUCCCAAUAACACUGCUGAGGCCAUUUGAUGAAACACUGGAAAAGACUGAAAACUAGAAACUGCCC